rnacentral:tRNA from 2 species
GAGUAUGAAAUGAAAAUCAGUUUUGCAAAAACUGAUUAGAAUUGAGUUAAUUCCAUACUUU